rnacentral:precursor_RNA from 1 species
ACCAUCGGAGGACGCGGUAGCUCAUCCGUUGAGCUGACCACCGUCGGUUCUCUGGUGUCC